rnacentral:rRNA from 1 species
UGCAAGUCGAGCGAUCUAAGUGUUUGACACUGAGUGCUUAACUAAUUAUAAGUGGCGGUCAAGGGUGAAUGAAAUGAAGCCUUGACACAUAUUAAGGUGUGACAACACUAUAAAACUUAUAAGAAUUGAGCGUUGAGUGUCAAACACUUAGAUAGCGGCGGACGGGUGAGUAACGCGUGGGAAACCUGCCCUAUACAGGGGGAUAGCCUCGGGAAACUGGGAUUAAUACCCCAUAACACUUAAGAGUCGCAUGAUUUUUAAGUCAAAACUCCGGUGGUAUAGGAUGGUCCCGCGUCUGAUUAGCUAGUUGGUGAGGUAAUGGCUCACCAAGGCGACGAUCAGUAGCCGGCCUGAGAGGGUGAACGGCCACACUGGAACUGAGACACGGUCCAGACUCCUACGGGAGGCAGCAGUGGGGAAUAUUGCACAAUGGGCGAAAGCCUGAUGCAGCGACGCCGCGUGAGCGAUGAAGGCCUUCGGGUCGUAAAGCUCUGUCCUAAGGGAAGAAUAUUGACGGUACCUUAGGAGGAAGCCCCGGCUAACUACGUGCCAGCAGCCGCGGUAAUACGUAGGGGGCGAGCGUUGUCCGGAUUUACUGGGCGUAAAGGGUGCGUAGGCGGCCUUGUAAGUCAGAUGUG